GUUCCCCAGCUGGGGCAUGAGUAAUCCAUCCCUAAGCUGCUCCAAGUAACAAUCCUGUUAGUGGACCAGAAAGCUGCUUUCUCUCAGACCAUUGAUUUCAAAGCUGGAAAACAGCAGGCACUGUGUUGGGAGUAAGCAAUGUGGAGUCAUCUCUUCCCCCAGAGAAACGCUGACAAGUAUUAGCUCACAGACAUGUGUGCACAAAGAUGGAUGCUCACAGUUGUCCGUUGGAGCACUGUUUGAAGCAGCAAAAGGAACCAAUUCAACUUUCCCUGAGUAGGAAAAUGGCUAAAUAAAUGCAAGAAGCCCCUUGCCAGAAGCAAGCCUCAUGACUUAGGACUUUCCAGCCUCCAGAAUUCUGGGCAUGGUGGCUCACACCUGUAAUCCCAGCACUUCGGGAGGCCCAGGUGGGCGGAUCACCUGAGGUCAGGAGUUUGAAACCAGCCUGAGCAACAUGGUGAAACCCCAUCUCUACUACAAAUACAAAAAUUAGCUGGGUGUGGUGGCUUGCAUCUGUAAUUCCAGCUACUAGGGAGGCAGAGGAAGAAGAACUCCUUGAACCUGGGAGGUGGAGGUUGUGGUGAGCCAAAAUCACAUCACUGCACUUCAGCCUGGGCAAAAAAG
rnacentral:lncRNA from 1 species